rnacentral:rRNA from 1 species
GACAAACGCUGGCGGCGUACCUAAGACAUGCAAGUCGAACGGGGCUCACCGCUUCGGCGGGGAGUCGAGUGGCGGACGGGUGAGUAACGCGUAGGAACCUGUCGAGCAGUGGGGGAUAACGCGUGGGAAACCGGCGCUAAUACCGCAUGUGAUCGGGAGACCGAAGAAAGCAGCAAUGCGCUAGUUUGAGGGGCCUGCGUCCGAUUAGCUUGUU